CUAAUUAUAACUUAAGGGCCAAACCCAAAAUCAAGGAGAAAAAAAGUGCAAUCAACAUUGGGAUUUCCAAAACUGCUCGAGAAAGGGAGGUCGAGUCAAGCUUGAAACCCUAAUUUUAGGUGAAGGAUGAAUAAAGUGAACAAGUUGACAUAAUAAAUUCCUCAUCACGAACAUGGAUAGUGAUUGAUGUUGCACGUGACAAAUUAAUCAGAAAACCCCAAGGAAUUUUAAGGAAAAAAAAAUGGACGAGAGAGAGAACCAAGCUGCAAAUCUGUCUCCAGGAGAAGAGGACGUAAGAAAAGAACGUCAUAUACAAAAGAAACGUGACAUAGAGACAGUGUUCGAGUCUUUGAGAUGCAUGGGAAGACAAACAAAGGCUCGACAGUGCCUACCACAUACAUGAAGAAAACGAGUAAGAACAAAAGAAGAGGUCAAGGAACUACUUUGCUCAAUGCAAGGCUUGCAAAAAUGUUUACCAUGAAUGGAAUAAUGUGGUUAGGAAAUAAUCACAAAAUAUGUUAAGAUUACCGAUAAACAAGAAAACAAAUAAAUGAUCAGCACCACUGAGCAUCACAACCAUAGUGAAUAAACAACACUUACAUUUCUAAGAGACCUC
rnacentral:lncRNA from 1 species